GAAUAAUCUAUGCUGGUCUAACGACCGGCACUGAAUUCUUAUCCAUAACACCUGUGCACUGUUGGAUGCUUGCAUCCACUUUUAUACUAAACAAUUUGUAACAAAUGUAGUCUUAUUAUAAUUAAUAAAACUUUUAACAACGGAUCUCUUGGCUCU
rnacentral:misc_RNA from 1 species